AUUGAACGCUGGCGGCAGGCCUAACACAUGCAAGUCGAGCGGUAGAGAGAAGCUUGCUUCUCUUGAGAGCGGCGGACGGGUGAGUAAUGCCUAGGAAUCUGCCUAGUGGUGGGGGAUAACGUUCGGAAACGGACGCUAAUACCGCAUACGUCCUACGGGAGAAAGCGGGGGAUCUUCGGACCUCGCGCUAAUAGAUGAGCCUAAGUCAGAUUAGCUAGUUGGUAGGGUAACGGCCUACCAAGGCUACGAUCAGUAGGGGGCGUGAGAGCGUGGCCCCCCACACGGGUACUGAGACACGGACCCGACUCCUACGGGAGGCAGCAGUAAGGAAUAUUGGGCAAUGGACGGAAGUCUGACCCAGCCAUCCCGCGUGCAGGACGAAUGCCCUAUGGGUUGUAAACUGCUUUUGUUUGGGAAGAAAUGUAUUCUUUUAAGAGUAUUUGACGGUACCAGACGAAUAAGCACCGGCUAACUCCGUG
rnacentral:rRNA from 1 species